rnacentral:rRNA from 1 species
GGAUGAAGGUCUGGUGACUGAGUGGCGGACGGGUGAGUAACGCGUGGGUAACCUGCCCUGUACAGGGGGAUAACAGUUGGAAACGGCUGCUAAUACCGCAUAAGCGCACGAGAGGACAUCCUCUUGUGUGAAAAACUCCGGUGGUACAGGAUGGGCCCGCGUCUGAUUAGCUGGUUGGCAGGGUAACGGCCUACCAAGGCGACGAUCAGUAGCCGGUCUGAGAGGAUGAACGGCCACAUUGGAACUGAGACACGGUCCAAACUCCUACGGGAGGCAGCAGUGGGGAAUAUUGCACAAUGGGGGAAACCCUGAUGCAGCAACGCCGCGUGAGUGAAGAAGUAUUUCGGUAUGUAAAGCUCUAUCAGCAGGGAAGAUAAUGACGGUACCUGACUAAGAAGCUCCGGCUAAAUACGUGCCAGCAGCCGCGGUAAUACGUAUGGAGCAAGCGUUAUCCGGAUUUACUGGGUGUAAAGGGUGCGUAGGUGGCAGUGCAAGUCAGAUGUGAAAGGCCGGGGCUCANCCCCGGAGCUGCAUUUGAAACUGCAUAGCUAGAGUACAGGAGAGGCAGGCGGAAUUCCUAGUGUAGCGGUGAAAUGCGUAGAUAUUAGGAGGAACACCAGUGGCGAAGGCG